CUUGCUUUUGAUGGGCGUCGACCGGCGCACGGGUGAGUAACGCGUAUCCAACCUGCCCAUCACUUGGGGAUAACCUUGCGAAAGUAAGACUAAUACCCAAUGGUAUCUCUAGAAGACAUCUGAAGGAGAUUAAAGAUUUAUCGGUGAUGGAUGGGGAUGCGUCUGAUUAGCUUGUUGGCGGGGUAACGGCCCACCAAGGCGACGAUCAGUAGGGGUUCUGAGAGGAAGGUCCCCCACAUUGGAACUGAGACACGGUCCAAACUCCUACGGGAGGCAGCAGUGAGGAAUAUUGGUCAAUGGACGAGAGUCUGAACCAGCCAAGUAGCGCGCAGGAAGACGGCCCUAUGGGUUGUAAACUGCUUUUAUAAGGGAAUAAAGUGAGUCUCGUGAGACUUUUUGCAUGUACCUUAUGAAUAAGGACCGGCUAAUUCCGUGCCAGCAGCCGCGGUAAUACGGAAGGUCCGGGCGUUAUCCGGAUUUAUUGGGUUUAAAGGGAGCGUAGGCCGGAGAUUAAGCGUGUUGUGAAAUGUAGAUGCUCAACAUCUGAACUGCAGCGCGAACUGGUUUCCUUGAGUACGCACAAAGUGGGCGGAAUUCGUGGUGUAGCGGUGAAAUGCUUAGAUAUCACGAAGAACUCCGAUUGCGAAGGCAGCUCACUGGAGCGCAACUGACGCUG
rnacentral:rRNA from 1 species